rnacentral:lncRNA from 1 species
GGGCCGGGUAAGGUCCAGCCGUAUCCGCCUCCUUCAUGUCCCGCUGUGGGAGGGGCUCUGGAGCGCCGGGACUGUGAGAUGGCCAAUGACGGUCUGACCCGUUGGGCCGGGCCAGGUCGCGGACAACGUCGACCGUUUGUUUAAGAAGCGUGGACUCUUGUCCUGAGUGCACCGAGGCUUUCAGCCUGCGGGACAGUGGUGCGAUUUGCAUUAGAGAAAGGGAGAUGCCAUGUGCUGGCCCAGCACUCCAACAGGGGCCUGACCUCUAGGAACGGGACACUGGAGGAAGCCUAGACAUCUGAACAAAUCAAGUCAUCCAGAUCCACGGUCAGCUCCUGCCCCGACUUGGCCUUCCUCCUGCUGGGCUGGCCCACGGACCUCGGGAACCUGCCCUGGCUGUGGGUGACCUGCAGCCUAUCUCCCAGGACUAUGGAAGCCCCAUGCAGGAACAUGGUUCUGACACUUUGGGGAUUAUACCCUAAGCUUAAAGGACUGGAAAAGCCCCUGAAGUCCCGAGACCACAACCCUCCACCUUCUAAAGAUAAGACAAGUCACUGAAGGUCUCAGAACUGUGGCCCAUUCACCCCUUCCCUCAAGACAAGAGUGUGGCCAAGCAUCAAUCUCACCCCCAGAGACCAGACGGUGUCCAGGUCUUGGGCAGACGAAACCUGCUCCUUGGGGAUGGUCUUCCUGGCUGUGCUUCCAAAGGGCUGGCCUGCAAUCAGCUGGUUUUCACUUGAUCCUUUCGGGGUUUGCAUUAUAUCUGACUGAAGGAAUGAACUGGGAGAGAACAGCAGAGCCGCAGCGGAAUGUGGAAAGGCCCACGUCCAGACUGUUCCCAUUCUGAUUUAAAAGCCUGAUGAAGGAACAGCUGAACUCAGAGAAACAGCAGGUGAAAUGCCCCUGGAGAGUGGAGAGGGUGGUUCUCUUGGCUGUCUCUGGAACAAAUUUGGGUAAGUGCUCAAAGAUGUGUUACUACAGAAUGUACUUGUGAAGUUCUUGUUGCAGUGCAGUCAGAUAAGCAAAGAUAUCUGCUAGAAAAUAAAGAAAAAGCUACACAAUUUUAGACUUUGUAGUUCAUUGUCUUUUAAGACAGCAAGUCCUGCUAUUGUCUGUCAUAAAGCUACAGAAAAAGACCAUAUUGAAAACUGACGAUAGCAGUUGAUUAUUUGUGAAAAGCCUGAGAGAUGAUUCAGUAAAUACAAGGUGAAUUUCAUUGCAUCUUCAUGCAAUCAGAGACUUGCAUACACUUUUUAUCCCCUAAACAGAUGAACGAAUGGCAUGGGCCAGCUAGCAGGGAGUUGGCAGGAUAAAGUUCUAACCAACAAUUGCCACUUGCCUUCCUUUCUUCCAUCAGCUUCUAGCUUACCUUUCAGAGACAGGUUCUAUCAAAGGAAACCUAAAGGGAACCUUCCUCCCUGGCCCUGCCCCAUCUAGCGUCCACAAGGAUACUACACUCCAGUGAAGACUAGGGUGUAUCCCAACUCCCCAAGAGCAGCAUCAACAGCUAUUAAUCCUAAAAGUCUUGGUUUACUUCUGCAACAUUGAGACACUUGCUGGGGCCAGAGCACAGGGGGCAAAUGGGAACCUGAAAUGCUCUUUUCCCAGCUUACUGCAGGACUCUUUGUCUCAUCUGUUAGCCAUAUGUCACCCCAUUAGAGAGAUCUCUCCUGACCAUCCCAUCUAAAAUUAUUUCCAGUUACUCACUCUCUCAUCCCUCUGCACUUAUGUGAAUAAAACAGUCUCAUUUUAUACUUGAUUGUCUGCCUUCCCUCCCUACAGUUAUUGUUGAAGCAGGCAGGAAUUCCCUCUGUCUGGCUCCCACGGUAUCCCCACCUUUUAGAAGAGUGUGUGGCAUGUAG